AUCUCCCCCUGUGUGGGAGUUUUGUUUAGAUAUUGUAUAGCAGUAUUAUUUGGAUACUGUGAGUAAAUAUUAUUUAGGUAUUUUAUGGCAGUAUUAUUUGAAUAGUGUGAGGAAGAAAUAUUUAGCCAUGUAAAUGGAUUUCCUGGGCAAUGAAUAGGCUUUGUGCGCUGACUGCAGUUGAGGAUCAUCCAAGACAAGCAUGUUCUUCAAGAACCAUAUUGGUAUCAUUUCUAGCCCGGAGACAAUGGCAGAAAAACAUGCCAAUAUCAAAUUUCUCUUGCUGCCAUAUAAGUCUAUGGGAGGACAUACUCCAACAUUUCAUAAAAGAAUGUCAUACCCUCAACAUGCUAUGAUUUUGGAAAACUGCUACAGAAGGGUGAUCCACCCCCCACCCCUC